AUGCUGCAGGAGAAGCUUCCUUAUCUACUUCUCUAUGCUUUUGUCCUCUUUCUCUUUGCUCCGAGAGCCACUCAAGGGGCCUACUGCCAGGAGGAACCUGUGAAUCUGGUGUUUCUGCUCUUCUAUUUGCUUGAUAACUUGGUUUCUGGUCCCUCCAAGAAUCAUGCAGAGAUAAGAAAAGGAGGUAAGGAGAAAGGAAAUGUUCCUAACUGGUUGGCACUUUCAAAGGCUAGCUUUGCCCUCUCUGAGUGUGACAGAGGUUUUAAGUUGGCAGUUUCCCUCCUGGGAACUCUGCAGAUUUUCUGGAGACAGUCCUGUUUUGAUUCUAAGUUCCUUAACCUAGAUAGACUUUUCAUUUGGGUAGUGGUUCCCCACCUUCCUAUUGGCCUCUCCCUUCAGGUCCUUCCACCAACACAGGAUCCCUUUCACCAUGAACCGACAUUCUUACUUGCUUUUCCAAACGUGACAUGCCCUCCUCUGUUCUCUGCUUUACUGACCUGACCUGCCACUGAAGAUCAUGUCCC
rnacentral:lncRNA from 1 species